rfam:Cellulophaga phage phi38:1, complete genome.
GGGGGCGACUGGUUUUGACAGGGUAUAACAGUCGUUAAUGUUCAGCGCAGAGAGAUAACUGCACAAACUAAGGUGAAAUUCUUUAAACGGAAACAACACGAAUGCGGUAAACGCACAGAUCGAAGCUAAUAUGGAAGCGGUAAACGCUAUCCUUAACCUUGAAGUAGCAGUAGGGGUAUAAGCUGACCGUUUUAUCUGUUUUCUCAAAACAGUUUGGUGGAGCUUCAAUCAUAACUAUGGUUGGCCCCUCUAGCAUAAAGAGUCUAAAGAAAUGCCGUGUGUAACGAUACUACGCAAAAGCUGUAUAAAACAUUAACGAUUAAGUGCUCUGGACGAGGGUUCGAUUCCCUCCGCCUCCACUA